rnacentral:rRNA from 1 species
UACGUAGGGUGCAAGCGUUGUCCGGAAUUAUUGGGCGUAAAGAGCGUGUAGGCGGCUUUGCAAGUCCGUUGUGAAACUCGAGGCUCAACCUCGAGACGCCGGUGGAAACUGCAAAGCUAGAGUCCGGAAGAGGAGAGUGGAAUUCCUGGUGUAGCGGUGAAAUGCGUAGAUAUCAAGCGGAACACCAGUGGCGAAGGCGAGUCCCUGGACAACUCCUGACACUGAGGCACGAAAGCUAGGGGAGCAAACAGG